rnacentral:rRNA from 1 species
GACGAACGCUGGCGGCGUGCUUAACACAUGCGAGUCGAACGGAAAGGCCCUGCUUUUGUGGGGUGCUCGAGUGGCGAACGGGUGAGUAACACGUGAGUAACCUGCCCUUGACUUUGGGAUAACUUCAGGAAACUGGGGCUAAUACCGGAUAGGAGCUCCUGCUGCAUGGUGGGGGUUGGAAAGUUUCGGCGGUUGGGGAUGGACUCGCGGCUUAUCAGGUUGUUGGUGGGGUAGUGGCUUACCAAGGCUUUGACGGGUAGCCGGCCUGAGAGGGUGACCGGCCACAUUGGGACUGAGAUACGGCCCAGACUCCUACGGGAGGCAGCAGUGGGGAAUAUUGCACAAUGGGCGGAAGCCUGAUGCAGCAACGCCGCGUGCGGGAUGACGGCCUUCGGGUUGUAAACCGCUUUCGCCUGUGACGAAGCGUGAGUGACGGUAAUGGGUAAAGAAGCACCGGCUAACUACGUG